GCAGGAAGUACUUUACAAAGUAAGUCUUCAAGGUAAUGCACCAUGAAGCUUUGAGUGAAGCUCUUCCUGAGAACAAUGUGGGCUUCAAUGUAAAGAACGUGUCCGUCAAAGAUGUUAGAUGAGGCAGUGUUGCUGGUGACAGCAAAAAUGACCCACCCAUGGAAGCAGCUGGCUUCACUGCUCAGGUGGUUAUCCUGAGCCAUCCAGGCCAAAUUAGUGCUGGCUACAUUCCUGUUCUGGAUUAUCACACAGCCUACAUAGCAUGCAAGUUUGCUGAGCUUAAAGAAAAGAUUGAUCAUCGUUCUGGUAAGAAGCUGGAAGAUGGCCCCAAAUUCUUGAAGUCUGGUGAUGCUGCCAUUGUUGAUAUGGUCCCUGGCAAGCCCGUGUGUGCUGAGAACUUCUCUGAUGAUCCUCCACUUGGUCAUUUUGCUGUUUGUGACAGUUGCUGUGGGUGUCAUCAAAGCUGAGGACAAGAAGGCUGCUGGAGCUGACAAAGUCACCAAGUCUGCCCAGAAAGCUCAGAAGACUAAAUGAAUAUUAUCCCUAACACCUGCCACCCCAGUCUUAAUCAGUGGUGGAAGAACACUCUCAGAACUGUUCGUCUCAAUUGGCCAUUUAAGUUUAAUAGUAAAAGAGUGUUUAGUGAUAACAAUGCAUCGUAAAACCUUCAGAAGGAAAGAAUGUUUUGUGGACCAUUUUUUUGUGUGUGUGGCAGUUUUAAGUUAUUAGUUUUCAAAAUCAGUACUUUUUAAUGGAAACAAUUUGACCAAAAAUCUGUCACAGAAUUUUGAGACCCAUUAAAGCAAGUUUAAAAA